rnacentral:rRNA from 1 species
CCUACGGGUGGCAGCAGUGAGGAAUAUUGGUCAAUGGACGAGAGUCUGAAGCAGCCAAGCCGCGUGAAGGAUGACUGCCCUCUGGGUUGUAAACUUCUUUUAUAUGGGAAUAAACUGUUCCACGUGUGGGAUUUUGUAUGUCCCAUAUGAUUAAAGAACGGCCAACGCCGUGCCGGCAGCCGCGGUAAUACGGAGGAUCCGAGCGUUAUCCGGAUUUAUUGGGUGUAAAGGGCACGUAGGGGGAUAGUUAAGUCAGUUGUGAAAGUUUGCGGCCCAACCGUAAAAUUGCAGUUGAAACUGGCAGGCUUGAGUACAGUAGAGGUGGGCGGAAUGCGUGGUGUAGCGGUGAAAUGCUUAGAGAUCACGAAGAACACCGAUGGCGAAGGCAGCCCACUGGACUGCAACUGACGCUGAGGCUCGAAAGUGUGGGGAUCAAACAGGAUUAGAUACCCUUGUAGUC